CCAAAAAUCCACAGCUUUUUGCGGAUUUAAUUGCAGAAAAUAAUGUGCAUUGGUACAAGGCACGUGAGUACAACCCAGCAGAUUCAUCCUUGCUCACUGAAUUUGACCUAAACCCCUUUUUUGCAGCAUUUGUCUUUUCUUCUUUAGGUUCACACCAAGGCCUCCAGUUUGAAAAAUGUAUGUGUGCUCCUGCACCUAAUGUAUAUGCAUAUUCAGUGUGACUGCAUAUGGAAAUGGAGCAUCCAUGCCAAGAGUUUUCCAGCCAAGAGGCUUUUUGCAUGUGCUUUGCUGAAUGACACUGCUUGUCCACAGAAGUUCUCUGAACCUCAAACUCAGAGCCACGAUGGUGCACCUGGAGCUCUGCACUUGGAAGACAUCAAGCUGAGAAAGGCAUCUCUAAUGUCCUGGGGGCAGGAGACCUGUGGCUUUGCACCUAGAGGGUGAGUUCUGCACUCUUCGUCUGAUUUUUGUAACAGCUCUCAAGAUCUUGAAGAUAAUCUAGGAUUAGCAAAAAAAAAAAAAAACCACUAAAUUGAGUAAUGCACAUGUUCUUGUUGCUUAGAAGUUAGAAAGCAUGGUUUAUGCUAAGUAGAAAUCUGUUGCUUGGAUAUGUAAGGAUGUAAAUUAAGUUUGUGAGACUUCACAAAGGGACAUGGCAGCAGGAAUAAUUUAUUAGCUACUCCUAAUGGUUGUUGCUUGUCCAUUGUAAUUAUGACUUUGUAAAUGAACACAAGGUUUCAAAAAGG
rnacentral:lncRNA from 12 species